rnacentral:rRNA from 1 species
UACAGAGGUCUCAAGCGUUGUUCGGAUUCAUUGGGCGUAAAGGGUGCGUAGGCGGCGCGGUAAGUCGGGUGUGAAAUCUUGGAGCUUAACUCCGAAACUGCAUUCGAUACUGCCGUGCUUGAGGACUGGAGAGGAGACUGGAAUUUACGGUGUAGCGGUGAAAUGCGUAGAUAUCGUAAGGAAGACCAGGUGGCGAAGGCGGGUCUCGUGGACAGUUC